rnacentral:rRNA from 1 species
AACGAACGCUGGCGGCAUGCCUAACACAUGCAAGUCGAACGAGACCUUCGGGUCUAGUGGCGCACGGGUGCGUAACGCGUGGGAACCUGCCCUUAGGUUCGGAAUAACUCCCCGAAGGGGGUGCUAAUACCGGAUAAUGUCUUCGGACCAAAGAUUUAUCGCCUUUGGAUGGGCCCGCGUUGGAUUAGCUAGUUGGUAGGGUAAAAGCCUACCAAGGCGACGAUCCAUAGCUGGUCUGAGAGGAUGAUCAGCCACACUGGGACUGAGACACGGCCCAGACUCCUACGGGAGGCAGCAGUGGGGAAUAUUGGGCAAUGGGCGAAAGCCUGAUCCAGCAAUGCCGCGUGAGUGAUGAAGGCCUUAGGGUUGUAAAGCUCUUUUACCCGGGAUGAUAAUGACAGUACCGGGAGAAUAAGCUCCGGCUAACUCCGUG